CAGGGGGAAAGAUCCUGUUUGUUUUUGUGUGGACUGUCAACCAGGAAUUGGAACCUAAGUACCCAACCAUACCUUUGUUUAAAUCGUCAACAUAGAACUGGGUCAAGAGAGCAAUUUCACCAUAACUGCUGGACCUACAGUGUGGAAGAGCUUAGGCAGUAACAAGCACAAUUUGGGAUGUCCCUUGGAGUCCACCUCAAAGUAGAAGGGAAAGCGAGGAAACUACUCUGAAUUCAGAAUGGCAUGUUUGGGAGAAUGCACGAACUUCAGGGAACAUAUUCAGUAAGAAACCCAGCACUGCUCAUGACUUGGGACAAUGGAUAUAUCCUUGUGCAGUCUGGCAUGAUUGUGGUGACAAGAAACACCUGGUGGCAGAUUGUCUUCAAGAGGAAAGAACUCUGUGAAAAUCCAUCUUUCUCCUCUAGCACAUGGCUUAGACUCUGGGACCAGGGGAAU
rnacentral:lncRNA from 1 species